rnacentral:rRNA from 1 species
UACAGAGAGUGCAAGCGUUGUUCGGAAUUAUUGGGCGUAAAGCGCGUGUAGGCGGUCCAACAAGUCUGGCGUGAAAGCCUGAAGCUUAACUUCAGAAGCGCGCUGGAAACUGUCGGACUUGAGUACUGGAGGGGGAAGGGGAAUUCACGAGUGUAGAGGUGAAAUUCGUAGAUAUUCGGAAGAACAUCUGUGGCGAAGGCGCCUUCCUGGACAGAUACUGACGCUGAGACGCGAAAGCGUGGGGAGCAAACAGG